rnacentral:rRNA from 1 species
GACGCUAAUACCGCAUGACAUCCUGCCUUUGAAGAGGUGGAGCUUAUAGCUGGGGAUCGCAAGACCUAGCGCUUGAAGAGGGGCCCGCGCCUGAUUAGCUAGUUGGUGAGGUAACGGCUCACCAAGGCAGCGAUCAGUAUCCGGCCUGAGAGGGCGGACGGACACACUGGGACUGAGACACGGCCCAGACUCCUACGGGAGGCAGCAGUGGGGAAUUGUUCGCAAUGGGCGCAAGCCUGACGACGCAACGCCGCGUGGAGGAUGAAGACCUUCGGGUCGUAAACUCCUUUCGAUCGAGACGAACGGCUUCCGGGUGAACAAUCCGGAAGAGUGACGGUACCGAGAGAAGAAGCCCCGGCUAACUCCGUGCCAGCAGCCGCGGUAAUACGGGGGGGGCAAGCGUUGUUCGGAAUUACUGGGCGUAAAGGGCUCGUAGGCGGCCAACUAAGUCAGACGUGAAAUCCCUCGGCUUAACCGGGGAACUGCGUCUGAUACUGGAUGGCUUGAGAUUGGGAGAGGGAUGCGGAAUUCCAGGUGUAGCGGUGAAAUGCGUAGAUAUCUGGAGGAACACCGGUGGCGAAGGCGGCAUCCUGGACCAACACUGACGCUGAGGAGCGAAAGCCAGGGGAGCAAACGGGAUUAGAUACCCCGGUAGUCCUGGCCCUAAACGAUGAAUGCUUGGUGUGGCGGGUAUCGAUCCCUGCCGUGCCGAAGCUAACG